rnacentral:rRNA from 1 species
UACGUAGGGUGCGAGCGUUGUCCGGAAUUAUUGGGCGUAAAGAGCUCGUAGGCGGUUUGUCGCGUCGACUGUGAAAACCUACAGCUUAACUGUGGGCUUGCAGUCGAUACGGGCAGACUUGAGUUCGGUAGGGGAGACUGGAAUUCCUGGUGUAGCGGUGAAAAUGCGCAGAUAUCAGGAGGAACACCGGUGGCGAAGGCGGGUCUCUGGGCAGUAACUGACGUGAGGAGCGAAAGCGUGGGUAGCAAACAGG